GACGAACGCUGGCGGCAGGCUUAACACAUGCAAGUCGAGCGCCCUCUUCGGAGGGAGCGGCAGACGGGUGAGUAACGCGUGGGAACGUGCCCUUCGGUACGGAAUAGCCCUGGGAAACUGGGUGUAAUACCGUAUACGACCUCCGGGUGAAAGAUUUAUCGCCGAAGGAUCGGCCCGCGUUAGAUUAGCUUGAUGGUGGGGUAAAGGCCUACCAUGGCGACGAUCUAUAGCUGGUUUGAGAGGACGACCAGCCACACUGGGACUGAGACACGGCCCAG
rnacentral:rRNA from 1 species